rnacentral:rRNA from 1 species
UACGUAGGGUGCGAGCGUUGCCCGGAUUUAUUGGGCGUAAAGGGCGCGUAGGUGGCUCGGCACGUCCGUUGUGAAAUCGCUCGGCUCAACUGGGCGAGGUCAGCGGAUACGGUCGAGCUUGAGCCAGCUAGGGGGCAAUGGAAUUCCCGGUGUAGUGGUGGAAUGCGUAGAUAUCAGGAGGAACACCGGUGGCGAAGGCGGAUCUCUGGGCCGAUACUGACGCUGAGGAGCGAAAGCGUGGGGAGCGAACAGG